CUUGACCGAGCCCAGCCAGAGCGGCUCGGUGCGGCGCUGGCCGUACGUGGCCAGCAGCGCCUGCGCCUC
rnacentral:antisense_RNA from 1 species